ACAUGAUUUAACCAAUUUACUAAAUAACAGUUUACAUGAGAGUUCUGAACAAUAUUAAAUAUCUAGUUUAAAUAAAUAGUCAUAGAUUUUAUUUUUGAAAAUAUCUAAGUUUGAGGAAUCAGUAAUAUCAGAUGGUAGCUCCUCCCAUAAUCGUAUAACAGUAAUUACAAAAGAGUUUUCAUAUUGUGUUGUUGUAUAAUUAGGCAAUUUAAAAUUUAAAUUAUUUUUCUUAGCCGCCAAUCUUUCUGAGCGCCUUACAUCAUCAUUAUCAAUGAACAGUUCUCGUAAAUAAUUUGGUUCACCAGUCACUAAAAGCUUAUAAAAAUAACAUGCUGCAAAGUAAAUGCGACGACUUUUAAUAGACAGCCAACCAAGUUCACGUCUGUACGGGAAAUAUUUAGCACUUCAAAGACUCCUGAUGCAAUCUCUAAUGAUGACAAACUUUCCGUAACACAAUCCGGGAUACCAGUGAUAAUUAAUUCAGAUGAAACUCGUGUAUUUGUCGAAGAAGUUAAUAAAUCCUGAUUUACUGAGCAACUUGAUUUGAGUGAGGCCAUUUGAUCAGCUAACGUCUUAGCCUUUAUUGUAUUCAAAUUCGUAUCUUCUCUAAGUUCUUCUAAAGCAAUUGUUCUUCUUGAAUACUAUUCAAGCGCUUGUUAAAGUCGUCAAUCUUCGAUGACAACAAUUUGAAUUCUGUAGCGA